UUGACCUCAAAUCAGGUAGGACUACCCGCUGAACUUAAGCAUAUCAAUAAGCGGAGGAAAAGAAACUAACAAGGAUUCCCCUAGUAACUGCGAGUGAAGCGGGAAAAGCUCAAAUUUGAAAUCUGGCGGUUUUUGACCGUCCGAGUUGUAAUCUAGAGAAGUGUUACCUGUGCUGGACCGUGUAAAAGUCUCCUGGAAUGGAGCAUCAUAGAGGGUGAGAAUCCCGUCUUUGACAUGGACAACCAGUGCGUCGUGGUGCGCUCUCAAAGAGUCGAGUUGUUUGGGAAUGCAGCUCAAAAUGGGUGGUAAAUGCCAUCUAAAGCUAAAUAUUGGCGAGAGACCGAUAGCGAACAAGUACCGUGAGGGAAAGAUGAAAAGCACUUUGGAAAGAGAGUUAAACAGUACGUGAAAUUGCUGAAAGGGAAACGCUUGAAGUCAGUCACGUUGGCUAGAAAUCAGCCUUGCUUCUGCUCGGUGUACUUUCUGGUUGACGGGUCAGCAUCAAUUUCGACCGCUGGACAAAGUCUUUGGGAAUGUGGCAUCCUCGGAUGUGUUAUAGCCCAUCGUCGCAUGCAGUGGUUGGGAUUGAGGAACUCAGCACGCCGCAAGGCCGGGUUUCGACCACGUUCGUGCUUAGGAUGCUGGCAUAAUGGCUUUAAUCGACCCGUC
rnacentral:rRNA from 1 species